rnacentral:misc_RNA from 1 species
GAUGAAGAACGCAGCGAAAUGCGAUAAGUAAUGUGAAUUGCAGAAUUCAGUGAAUCAUCGAAUCUUUGAACGCACAUUGCGCCCCCUGGAAUUCCGGGGGGCAUGCCUGUUCGAGCGUCUCAGGGACGAACCCUCGCGCGGGUGUACGCGCGGUCGUGGCUGCGGUGGCGUGCCCGAGGCGGCGGCCACCGCGCUGGAAUCCAUGGGCGGACGCCUGCCGCGUGGCCGAGCGUGAUAUGACGCAUUGGCGCUCGCACGCGGAGAGGCUGCCAGCCCUGGCCCGUCUGUCGGGCGGGGGAGAGCAAGACACGUGAACUCCUCGAAUCAGGUAGGGAUACCCGCUGAACUUAAGCAUAUCAAUAAGCGGAGGA